rnacentral:rRNA from 1 species
GACGAACGCUGGCGGCGUGCUUAACACAUGCAAGUCGAACGGAAAGGCCCUGCUUUUGUGGGGUGCUCGAGUGGCGAACGGGUGAGUAACACGUGAGUAACCUGCCCUUGACUUUGGGAUAACUUCAGGAAACUGGGGCUAAUACCGGAUAGGAGCUCCUGCUGCAUGGUGGGGGUUGGAAAGUUUCGGCGGUUGGGGAUGGACUCGCGGCUUAUCAGCUUGUUGGUGGGGUAGUGGCUUACCAAGGCUUUGACGGGUAGCCGGCCUGGGAGGGUGACCGGCCACAUUGGGACUUGGAUACGGCCCAAGCUCCUACGGGGUGCAGCAGUUGGGAAUAUUGCACAAUGGGCGGAAGCCUUAAGCAGCAACGCCGCGUGCGGGAUGACUGCCUUCGGGUUGUAAACCGCUUUCGCCUGUGACGAAGCGUGAGUGACGGUAAUGGGUAAAAGAGCACCGGCUAACUACGUG